AGCUUAAUAGCAGUGGCAGUAUCGUAGCCAAUGAGGUUAAUCCGAGGCGCGAUUAUUGCUAAUUGAAAACCUCUAUAACAGAAUUUUAAAGUUUUUUUUUUUUUUUUUU
rnacentral:snRNA from 1 species